rnacentral:rRNA from 1 species
UACGAGGGGGGCAAAUGUUGUUCGGAAUUACUGGGCGUAAAGGGCUCGUAGGCGGCCAACUAAGUCAGACGUGAAAUCCCUCAGCUUAACUGGGGAACUGCGUCUGAUACUGGAUGGCUUGGAUUCGGGAGAGGAAUGCGGAAUUCCAGGUGUAGCGGUGAAAUGCGUAGAUAUCUGGAGGAACGCCGGUGGCGAAAGCGAUCUGCUGGACCCUCACUGACGCUGAGGCGCGAAAGCCAGGGGAGCAAACGGG